UAGGGAAUCUUCCGCAAUGGACGCAAGUCUGACGGAGCAACGCCGCGUGAGUGAAGAAGGAUUUCGGUUCGUAAAACUCUGUUGUUAGAGAAGAACAGCGCAUAGAGUAACUGUUAUGCGUGUGACGGUAUCUAACCAGAAAGCCACGGCUAACUACGUGCCAGCAGCCGCGGUAAUACGUAGGUGGCAAGCGUUGUCCGGAUUUAUUGGGCGUAAAGCGAGCGCAGGCGGUCAAUUAAGUCUGAUGUGAAAGCCCCCGGCUCAACCGGGGAGGGUCAUUGGAAACUGGUUGACUUGCGUGCAGAAGAGGAGAGUGGAAUUCCAUGUGUAGCGGUGAAAUGCGUAGAUAUAUGGAGGAACACCAGUGGCGAAGGCGACUCUCUGGUCUGUAACUGACGCUGAGGCUCGAAAGCGUGGGUAGCAAACAGG
rnacentral:rRNA from 1 species